rnacentral:lncRNA from 1 species
CAGUGGUUGAGUGCCCUUGAAUUCAAUCCCUGGCACCUUCCACCACCCCCCAAAAAGAAAACAAUACACUGUUGUUAGUAUGUUAACCUCAACUAUUAUCUUUAUUGAAUUUCAACAAGCAGUAGGUUAUAGCCAUUACUGAUAUAAUGGGCGAAAAUUUAAAGUGCUUAUUAUCUAUUUGAUCUUACUGUCUUACUCAUAAUUGCAUAUUAGUUCCCUUGGUCCUGUUUGUACACAUAAUCUCAGUAUGUGAAUAUUCUGAAAUAAAGCAAGGCAUAUUAUCAUGAUUAUUUAAUUUUUUGUGGUAGGAGAAUGAAAUCUGAGUCUCAUGGGUUAUUUGUAUGUUGAAACUUUUUCAGGCUUUUAUGAUAUCCUUUUGUCAACUUAGUUGAUAACUGAAGGGAAGAGAGGAUUUGGCUACUGAAUUUUGGGAAGAAUUUGGUCACUGAAUUUCAUGGUGUGUCAUCAGUGUGGAUCCUAUUCAGUGAUUGGAUCUGAAAUUGACACUGAAAACCACAUUAGCUGCACUUAAGACAGAAACAUAAACCCUUCAAGGUAAUAUAACCUUAUCAGUAGAAAUAAGAGUAUAUUGUGAGGCCUUGACUAGGUUCAUGAUGACACAGGACCUUGUCUGAAUAUGAUGAUUUCAAAAUUUGAGCUUAAAUUGACACUCUGAAAUCUAGUCAGUGUGCCUCACUAGACUUUACAGAGCACAUUAUUCUUGAAAAAGAUCUUGGCUUUUUGUAAAAACUUAGAACAUAUAGAUAUGCCUUUUCUAGUAUAGAACUUUGCCAUUUCUUCAAAUGUCUUUUAUUUUCAUUGAUAUUCUGAGGUAAUUCUUUUUUUCUGAACUUUGUAUGUUGUUGAAAGCUAAAAGGAAACAUCUUGGAUUACAGAAGAUAGCAGGCACCUGGUGAGAUGGAAGUAAGGAUGUGUACAAAUGAAACUAUCAACUAUUGAAAACAAAGAGUACUAAAGUCCUAGGGUUCUAAAUGAUGUCCAGGAAUGAAAGAAUAAUAUUUGUCGAGCAUAUAUUGUGGAUCACAAUGAUAGUUUCAAGAAAGAAUACUUCUGUCAUCCUUGGUUUUAAUCCUGUGAAUGAUAUGUACUAGCAAUGAAAGAUCUGUUGGAGUAAUUUAAUUCAUGUGUUCUUCACUCCUAUCUCUCACUUGGCGGUAUGACUAUAAGGGCCACUGACUGCCCAUUUGAUGGGGAAUGGGGUGCUUUAGUGAUAU